rnacentral:rRNA from 1 species
UACGGGGGGAGCAAGCGUUGUUCGGAUUUACUGGGCGUAAAGGGCGCGUAGGCGGCCAGCACAAGUCAGUUGUGAAAUCCCCGGGCUUAACUCGGAAAGGUCAACUGAUACUGUGCGGCUAGAGUGCAGAAGGGGCAACUGGAAUUCUCGGUGUAGCGGUGAAAUGCGUAGAUAUCGAGAGGAACACCUGCGGCGAAGGCGGGUUGCUGGGCUGACACUGACGCUGAUGCGCGAAAGCCAGGGGAGCGAACGGG